CCUACGGGAGGCAGCAGUGAGGAAUAUUGGUCAAUGGGCGCGAGCCUGAACCAGCCAAGUCGCGUGAGGGAAGACGGUCCUAUGGAUUGUAAACCUCUUUUGUCGGGGAGCAAAAGACGCCACGCGUGGCGUUCCGAGAGUACCCGAAGAAAAAGCAUCGGCUAACUCCGUGCCAGCAGCCGCGGUAAUACGGAGGGGGCAAGCGUUAUCCGGAUUUAUUGGGUGUAAAGGGCGUGUAGGCGGGAGCGCAAGUCAGAUGUGAAAACUCAGGGCUCAACCCUGAGCCUGCAUUUGAAACUGUGGUGCUUGAGGGCUGGAGAGGAAAUCGGAAUUCCGGGGGGAGCGGUGAAAUGCGUAGAUAUACGGAGGAACACCAGGUGCGAAGGCGGAUUGCUGGACAGUAACUGACGCUGAGGCGCGAAAGCGUGGGGAGCAAACAGGAUUAGAUACCCCAGUAGUC
rnacentral:rRNA from 1 species